AGUGAACGCUGGCGGCGUGCUUAACACAUGCAAGUCGAACGAGAACGGGUUAUAGCUUGCUAUAAUUGUCAGCUAAGUGGCGCACGGGUGAGUAAUGUAUAGGUAAUAUGCCUCUUACUAAGGGAUAACAAAUGAAAACGUUUGCUAAUACCUUAUACUCCUUAUUAACAGAAGUUAAUAAGGGAAAGAUUUAUUGGUAAGAGAUUAGCCUGUAUUGUAUCAGUUAGUGGGUGGGGUAAUGGCUUACAAAGACUAUGACACAUAACUGGUUUGAGAGGAUGAUCAGUCACACUGGAACUGAGACACGGUCCAGACUCCUACGGGAGGCAGCAGUGGGGAAUAUUGCACAAUGGACGAAAGUCUGAUGCAGCAACGCCGCGUGGAGGAUGACACAUUUCGGUGCGUAAACUCCUUUUAUAUGAGAAGAUAAUGACGGUAUUAUAUGAAUAAGCACCGGCUAACUCCGUGCCAGCAGCCGCCGUAA
rnacentral:rRNA from 1 species